rnacentral:lncRNA from 1 species
UAUGAGUUCCUCUGUCUUUUCAAUUUCUUUUUUAAAAUUAUGUGUGACUUAUGUGUGCCCAUGCACACAAGCUUUGAGGAGAGGUGGUGCAAAGGUCUUUCAUGAGGACCAUGAUGGUUUUGAGUUCUAACUAGAAGACAACGUGGAAAAAAAUAUCUGAGGAUAGAUUACCUUGGAAAAAGCGUGCUUCAUCAUAAAACAUUUGCCAGUAGAUUUCUAUUUCUCCUCCUACCCUAUCCAUCUUUUACAUGUGGAUUAUUUGUAAGAGAGAUAAUUUGACCACUUUUAUUCUUAAACGAUUGGGUAAAAACAUUUCUGCAUCAAAUCUCACAUUAUGUCUCACCAACUCGUCUUGUUCUGUUCUUGGAAGAGUUAGUAAGUCUAAUAUGUUGAGUAGGAUGGAUACCACAUAAACGAGUUUAUGACUUGAGACCACACAAUGAGCUUCUGUUAGAGUUUGGCUGAAAAUCCAAGUCUAUGCAUUUCUAGCUCAAUGUUCUGCCCAUACUGUCAGUCUAAUGUGUCCUCGAUAGAUUUAUUUUUUAUUUAUUAAGGAAAGUCAAGUCCUGGUUUCUCUCAGCAUUUUUAAUUAAGGAAGAAGGUCCAGAAAUGUGGAUUUCCCUCUUCCAUUAUUUUCUUUCUCCAGUUUAACUUUUUUCCCAACCUCCAUUUUAGCUCGUUUUAAAAAUUAAUCUGGCCAACCUUUCUUCUUGCCCGCGCCGGGCUCACCAGGGACGUGACCACUGAUUACCGGCUGACCCUCCGCCAUUUAGUAUUUUGCACUGUCGGCUCUCCCUGCUGAGCCAGAAAGCCCGGACCAGAUUGGGAAGGAACACGUGAGCAGUUGUCCUUUGUUCUUCUCUUGGCUCCUCGCUCCGGCCAUGUGUUCUAGUCAGGACUUCCAAUUAGGAUGCCUGAAAGAAACGAGCAGACUGGCGAUGCCAUGUCCUCCUCUGCCGCCAGCAGGACUGGGGGUGGCAGAAUAUGCUGCCCGAAAAUUCAUCGGGAAAGAUUUGCUUCCAAGGAAAGAAAAUGCGACAUUUUAGCCUGCAGGUAUCGUGGCGGUGAGCCAAAUUGCCUGGAAAGAUUAAUAGUCAAUCAAGCCCAUGCUUUUACUGUGCUAAAUAUUCUGCUGGAGGCUAUAAGCUGCUCUCACUCACCAAUAGGUGCUUACGGUCUGGCUGAGGCGACCCAAUGUGCUUCAAAUUGAGUGUCUCUGGAUCCUGGAAAAUUAUUCCAAGUGAGGUUUUUCUGAAGAUAAGUGGUCCUUACAGCGCGGUCUGGGCAAAUUGAUGGUUUGCAGGUGUCUCUGAGCAGCCUACAACCUCAGACUCUCUCAAGGAAGUGAUAACGUUAAAGUGAUCUUACUUCGCUCAUCAGCAGCGUUUGACUCUCUCCUUCUUGAAACACUUUUUCUUCGCUCCCGGGGACGUCUCUUUGUUGAUUCACCGUCACAGACUCCUUCAUUUUGUGUCCUUGCAGUUCUCCCUCACAUCCCAAGCCAUCAAAUAUUGGAAUUCCCCUUAACUUUGUGCCGGGAGAAAUCUUCCAAUUGCCCCUUCGGAUUCUCUCUCCACCCCUUUGUCUCCAUUCUGUGCCCUGGGAGGCUGACCUUUGUAGAUUACAUCAUGGACUUCAGGGCCUCUUAUGUGUUGAACUGUGCCCCCCUCCCCCACCAAUUCAUACGUUGAUGUCCUAAGCCCCAGUAUCUCAGAAUGUGACCUUACUUGGAAAUAGGGUCACUGCAGAUGUAAAUAGUUAAAAUGAAGUCUUAGAGUAGGCAAAUUCAUGGAGACAGAAAGUAGAAUGGUGGCUGCCAGGGGCAGGGGAAAGAGGGAAGGCAGAGUUAUCGUUUAAUAAGUAUAGAGGUUUUGCUGGAGAUGAUGAAAAGUUUUGGGUAUAAAUAAUGGUAAUGUUUACACAGUGUUGUGAAUGUGUUUAAUGCCACUCAGUUGUAUACUCACAAAUGAUUAAAAUGAUAAAUAAUAUGGUAUGUAUAUUUUACCACAAUAAAAAUAAUUAAAAACACA